GCCUUCGUAGUGUAACGGCCAGCACACUCGGCGCAUAUUCGAGAGGGCCGAGGUGCGAGUCCCGGCGAAGGCA
rnacentral:tRNA from 1 species